rnacentral:rRNA from 1 species
GACGAACGCUGGCGGCGUGCUUAACACAUGCAAGUCGAACGGUGAAGCUCCAGCUUGCUGGAGUGGAUCAGUGGCGAACGGGUGAGUAACCCGUGAGCAACCUGCCCCUGACUCUGGAAUAAGCGCUGGAAACGGCGUCUAAUACUGGAUACGAGAAGGGCCCGCAUGGGCACUUUCUGGCAAGUUUUUCGGUUGGGGAUGGGCUCGCGGCCUAUCAGCUUGCUGGUGAGGUAAUGGCUCACCAAGGCGACGACGGGUAGCCGGCCUGAGAGGGCGACCGGCCACACUGGGACUGAGACACGGCCCAGACUCCUACGGGAGGCAGCAGUGGGGAAUAUUGCACAAUGGGCGAAAGCCUGAUGCAGCGACGCCGCGUGAGGGAUGACGGCCUUCGGGUUGUAAACCUCUUUCAGCAGGGAAGAAGCGAAAGUGACGGUACCUGCAGAAGAAGCACCGGCUAACUACGUG